rnacentral:rRNA from 1 species
AGUGAACGCUGGCGGUAGGCCUAACACAUGCAAGUCGAACGGCAGCACAGUAAGAGCUUGCUCUUACGGGUGGCGAGUGGCGGACGGGUGAGGAAUACAUCGGAAUCUACUUUUUCGUGGGGGAUAACGUAGGGAAACUUACGCUAAUACCGCAUACGACCUACGGGUGAAAGCAGGGGAUCUUCGGACCUUGCGCGAUUGAAUGAGCCGAUGUCGGAUUAGCUAGUUGGCGGGGUAAAGGCCCACCAAGGCGACGAUCCGUAGCUGGUCUGAGAGGAUGUUGAGCCAAACUGGAACUGGGACACGGCCCAGACUCUUACGGGAGGCAGCGUAGGGGAAUAUUGGACAAGGGGGGCAAGCCUGAUCCAGCCAUACCGCGUGGGUGAAGAAGGCCUUCGGGUUGUAAAGCCCUUUGGUUGGGAAAGAAAAGCAUCAGGUUAAUACCCCGCUGUUCUGACGGUACCCAAAGAAUAAGCACCGGCUAACUUCGUG